AAUAAGUACAAUUUUACCUGUUCAUAUUCAAUGUUUGAUCGUCCGUAUUAUUUGAAAUUUUUUUAUGAUUAGUAUUUUUAUUAUUAUUAGAUAAUAAAACAUAAAUAAUAUUUUAUGUGUGACUAUGUUUUUAAUUUUUUUCAUAAAAUUUUUAAAAUUUUCAAAUAAGACGAACGGUCAAACGUUGGAUACGGAUAUUCACGGUUAUACCUUUG
rfam:Oryza punctata chromosome 3, whole genome shotgun sequence.